rnacentral:rRNA from 1 species
AGAGUUUGAUCCUGGCUCAGAAUCAACGCUGGCGGCGUGCCUAACACAUGCAAGUCGAACGCGAAAGUCGUCUUCGGAUGGCGAGUAGAGUGGCGAACGGGUGAGUAACGCGUGGGUCACCUGCCCCGAGAUGGGGGAUAACCCGGGGAAACCCGGGCUAAUACCGCAUAAGCCUUAAGAGGGAAAGCCUUCGGGUGUCUUGGGAGGGGCCUGCGUCCGAUUAGCUAGUAGGUGGGGUAAGAGCUCACCUAGGCUACGAUCGGUAACCGGUCUGAGAGGACGGACGGUCACACUGGGACUGAGACACGGCCCAGACUCCUACGGGAGGCAGCAGUGGGGAAUUUUGCGCAAUGGGGGAAACCCUGACGCAGCAACGCCGCGUGGAGGAAGAAGGUUUUCGAAUCGUAAACUCCUGUCCGGAGGGAAGAAAAAAAUGACGGUACCUCUGGAGGAAGCCCCGGCUAACUCCGUGCCAGCAGCCGCGGUAAUACGGGGGGGGCUAGCGUUGUUCGGAUUUACUGGGCGUAAAGGGCGCGUAGGCGGUGGGAGAAGUUUUGGGUGAAAGCCCCCGGCUCAACCCGGGGAAGUGCCUGGAAAACCAUCUGACUAGAGUGCUGGAGAGGCAAGCGGAAUUUCUGGUGUAGCGGUGAAAUGCGUAGAUAUCAGAAGGAACCUCGGAGGCGAAGGCGGCUUGCUGGACAGACACUGACGCUGAGGCGCGAAAGCUAGGGGAGCAAACGGGAUUAGAUACCCCGGUAGUCCUAGCCGUAAACGAUGGGUACUUGGUGUAAGGGGGUUUUUGAAGUCCCUCUGUGCCGGCGAUAACUCGUUAAGUACCCCGCCUGGGGAGUACGAUCGCAAGAUUGAAACUCAAAGGAAUUGACGGGGGCCCGCACAAGCGGUGGAGCAUGUGGUUUAAUUCGACGCAACGCGAAGAACCUUACCGGGGUUUAAACUGGGGUGGAAGUUAGCAGAGAUGUUGAUGUCUUUUACGAGACUGCCUCAGAGGUGCUGCAUGGCUGUCGUCAGCUCGUGUCGUGAGAUGUUGGGUUAAGUCCCGCAACGAGCGCAACCCUUGUCUGUAGUUGCCAUCAGGUAAAGCUGGGCACCCUACGGAGACUGUCGGCGAGAAGCCGGAGGAAGGUGGGGAUGACGUCAAGUCCUCAUGGCCUUUAUGCCCCGGGCUACACACGUGCUACAAUGGGCGGUACAAAGAGUCGCCAACUCGCGAGAGUGAGCCAAUCUCAAAAAGCCGUUCUCAGUUCGGAUUGCAGUCUGCAACUCGACUGCAUGAAGUUGGAAUCGCUAGUAAUUGCGGAUCAGCACGCCGCGGUGAAUACGUUCCCGGGCCUUGUACACACCGCCCGUCACAUCACGAAAGUGGGCUGCACUAGAAGCCGUUGAGCUAACCCUUUGGGAGGCAGACGUCGACGGUGUGGUUCAUGAUUGGGGUGAAGUCGUAACAAGGUAACC